UACAGAGGUCUCAAGCGUUGUUCGGAUUCAUUGGGCGUAAAGGGUGCGUAGGCGGCGCGGUAAGUCGGGUGUGAAAUCUCGGGGCUUAACUCCGAAACUGCAUUCGAUACUACCGUGCUUGAGGACUGGAGAGGAGACUGGAAUUUACGGUGUAGCGGUGAAAUGCGUAGAUAUCGUCAAGAACACCGAUAGCGAAGGCAGCUUACUGGGCUGUAACUGACGCUGAUGCACGAAAGUGUGGGGAUCAAACAGG
rnacentral:rRNA from 1 species